rnacentral:rRNA from 1 species
GAUGAACGCUGGCGGCGUGCCUAAUACAUGCAAGUAGAACGCUGAAGGAAGGAGCUUGCUCUUUCCGGAUGAGUUGCGAACGGGUGAGUAACGCGUAGGUAACCUGCCUGGUAGCGGGGGAUAACUAUUGGAAACGAUGGCUAAUACCGCAUAACAGUAGAUGUUGCAUGAUAUCUACUUAAAAGGUGCAAUUGCACCACUACCAGAUGGACCUGCGUUGUAUUAGCUAGUUGGUGAGGUAACGGCUCACCAAGGCGACGAUACAUAGCCGACCUGAGAGGGUGAUCGGCCACACUGGGACUGAGACACGGCCCAGACUCCUACGGGAGGCAGCAGUAGGGAAUCUUCGGAAAGGGACGGAAGUCUGACCGAGCAACGCCGUGGGAGUGAAGAAGGUUUUCGGAUCGUAAAGCUCUGUUGUAAGAGAAGAACGAGUGUGAGAGUGGAAAGUUCACACUGUGACGGUAUCUUACCAGAAAGGGACGGCUAACUACGUG